GAUGAACGCUGACAGAAUGCUUAACACAUGCAAGUCUUUGGCGAAUCUGUGCUUGCACAGGCUAGCCAAGGCGGACGGGUGAGUAACGCGUAAAGAACUUGCCCUGCAGACAGGGAUAACAGACGGAAACGACUGAUAACACCUGAUACAGUUGCCUGCACGCAUGUGCCUGGCAAUGAAAAGAGAUGCUGCAGGAGAGCUUUGCGUCCUAUUAGCUUGUUGGUGAGGUGACGGCUCACCAAGGCGAUGAUAGGUAGCCGGCCUGAGAGGGUGAACGGCCACAAGGGGACUGAGAUACGGCCCUUACUCCUACGGGAGGCAGCAGUGGGGAAUAUUGGACAAUGGGGGCAACCCUGAUCCAGCAAUUCUGUGUGCACGAAGAAGGUUUUCGGAGUGUAAAGUGCUUUCAGCAGGGAAGAAGAAAGUGACGGUACCUGCAGAAGAAGCGACGGCUAAAUACGUG
rnacentral:rRNA from 1 species